AGCGAACGCUGGCGGCAGGCCUAACACAUGCAAGUCGAACGAAGUCUUCGGACUUAGUGGCGGACGGGUGAGUAACACGUGGGAACGUGCCUUUAGGUUCGGAAUAACUCAGGGAAACUUGUGCUAAUACCGAAUGUGCCCUUCGGGGGAAAGAUUUAUCGCCUUUAGAGCGGCCCGCGUCUGAUUAGCUAGUUGGUGAGGUAAAGGCUCACCAAGGCUACGAUCAGUAGCUGGUCUGAGAGGAUGACCAGCAACAUUGGGACUGAGACACGGCGCAAAGUCCUACGGGAGGCAGCAGUGGGGAAUCUUGCGCAAUGGGCGAAAGCCUGACGCGGCCAUGCCGCGUGGAUGGUGAAGGUCUUAGGAUUGUAAAAUCCUUUCACCGGUGAAGAUAAUGACUGUAGCCGGAGAAGAAGCCCCGGCUAACUUCGUGCCAGCAGCCGCCGUAAGAC
rnacentral:rRNA from 1 species